rnacentral:rRNA from 1 species
UACGUAGGGUGCGAGCGUUGUCCGGAAUUACUGGGCGUAAAGAGCUCGUAGGUGGUUUGUCGCGUUGUCCGUGAAAACUCACAGCUUAACUGUGGGCGUGCGGGCGAUACGGGCAGACUGGAGUACUGCAGGGGAGACUGGAAUUCCUGGUGUAGCGGUGGAAUGCGCAGAUAUCAGGAGGAACACCGGUGGCGAAGGCGGGUCUCUGGGCAGUAACUGACGCUGAGACGCGAAAGCGUGGGGAGCGAACAGG